ACGUUUUUACUCUCUCAUAAAUAAAGGGCUUCACACUGCUCAUUAUCCUUCGCAAGUUUUAUUCCUUCCUUCAUUCCACCAUCAAACCCUAAACCCAUCUUCUUGGAAGCAUAUACAUUUUUCACUUUUUCAUCAGAUCUGUUUCCUCAAUCACUUCUCUCUUAUCUCUAAUCAACACUCGAUGCACCUUAUGGAAUCGGAUGUUACCGUUAUCAUUACUCAUAUUUAUCUUAUUCCUACGACCGUGAUUUCCUUGAUUAAAUCAACAUAUACAUGUACUGAUAUCUUCACACCCACCAUCUAUCAACUUCAACUUGCUACAAAUCUUCAUAUCUUCAUCCUCAGAAGAUAAAUCAAUGCCUUAAUAGUGGGAUUGCUACUAAAUGAUCCAAAAGACACCGAAGCAUUUGUAAAAAGAGUUCAAUUACCAGAUGAUCAUUUAAUGGCAGCUCAUAAAUAUGGGUUGUUAUUGAAUGUUAACAAAUAUGACGUUAAGGCAUUAAUAGUGGGAUUGCCACUAAAUGAUCAAAUGAUACCAUGACAUUCGAAAAAAAAUAUCUAUUACCAUCUGAUUAUUUAAUGGCAUCCCAUAAAUAUGGGUCGUUAUUGAAUGUUAGCAAAGUUCCUCAAUCACUUACUAUUCUUGCCAAGACAUGGUGCUACGAAGAGAGACUCAACUAACGUAUUAACUUACUAUUCUUGCUACGAAGCAUUUAUUAAAGCAGUUAAAUUAGGAAGUGAGCCACUCAAAGAUGGAUUUAACACCAGGACAGCCUAACAAAGUUCUACCAGAUCUGUUUCCGCAGUCUCUUAAUCGAUGAAGCCCGAUCAUCGGAUACUAUCGUUCAUCAUUAGUCUAUUAGUUUAUUACCAACUGUGAUUUCCUUGAUUAAAUCAGUGAUAUUGGCAAUGAUCGAUCUUGGCAAUGAUCGAUCUGAUGAAGAUGCGUUUAAGAUUCGUUUUUCAAGCAUUGGUUAAGCGUGUUGUGAAUCAAACUUAUGGAUGGAUUUUAAUGACUCAUGGCGUAGACAUUAUUGAGCAAAUUGGAUGAUGAUGUGUGCACUGCUUCAGGUAGAACUGUGUCAACAGAAUGUGGAUUUCAUGAACCAACACAAGUAAUUCUUGAUUACCUCAUUGAAGACAAUAAGUUAGGAUGAUGAUCGUAGGCAAAUAUGUGAGUGGAGUUGAAAAAGCUGACAAGAAAAUUAAAGAGGUUAUUCCAUCAUAUGCUCCUAAUAUUCAUUGUGAAAGCGACCUAACAGUGAUCAGUUCUGAGUCUGAUGACUGUGAGGAUUCAGAUUGUAAUCAUGUAGAUUCAGAUUGUAAUGAGGAGGAGUCCAUUGAUUCAUACAGUGAUGAUUCUGGAAAGCAGUGACUUCGACCCACGUGAAGAAAAUGCAUAUUUUGGCGGGGAACUUAAGGUCACCAAAGCUGUUGCAAGAGGACAUAAUGUUCUGCUCUCAUCAUUCUUUCUGAAUCUGCUAAAUUCGAGAUAAAGAUUGUUUAGAAGCGUGAAGAAGGCAGAAGGUGCCUUUUGGAGCGGUUCUUUACGUGCUAUCAGAUAUGUAGGAAAAAAGGAGAGAAAUUCUUCAUAUUCAGUUCACUUGUGCAGGUGAAAAAUACUCAUAGUCUAGGUGACUAGAAUAUAACAUGAGCAACCCUUAUCUGUAGGUCUUGAUAUUGUAUUAUUCUAAUUUGUAUUCAAUAUGUAUUGUUAAUUCUGUCACUCUCAAUGAGUGGUUGUUUGGAUAGAAUGUAUAUAAAUACUUACACAACUAAUGUGUCUUUGGAUUGACGGUAAGUUCGAUUGUCGGUGAAUUUGACAAAAUUGAGAUA